rnacentral:rRNA from 1 species
UACGAAGGGGGCUAGCGUUGUUCGGAAUCACUGGGCGUAAAGGGCGCGUAGGCGGCUUUAUAAGUCGGGGGUGAAAGCCUGUGGCUCAACCACAGAAUUGCCUUCGAUACUGUAGAGCUUGAGACCGGAAGAGGUUAGUGGAACUGCGAGUGUAGAGGUGAAAUUCGUAGAUAUUCGGAAGAACACCAGUGGCGAAGGCGGCUCACUGGCCCGGUACUGACGCUGAGGCGCGAAAGCGUGGGGAGCAAACAGGG